UGGGAUAUGGCUCAGUGGUAGAGAGCUUGCCAUGCUUGAGAUCCUGGCAUGCUUGAGAUUCUGGGUUCGAUUCCUAGUACUCCUG
rnacentral:tRNA from 1 species